rnacentral:rRNA from 1 species
UACGUAGGGCGCAAGCGUUGUCCGGAAUUAUUGGGCGUAAAGAGCUCGUAGGCGGUUUGUCGCGUCUGCUGUGAAAACCUAAGGCUCAACCCCGGGUCUGCAUUCGAUACGGGCUAGCUAGAGUGUGGUAGGGGAGAUCGGAAUUCCUGGUGUAGCGGUGAAAUGCGCAGAUAUCAGGAGGAACACCGGUGGCGAAGGCGGAUCUCUGGGCAUUACCUGACGCUGAGGAGCGAAAGUGUGGGGAGCGAACAGG